rnacentral:misc_RNA from 1 species
GAAUGUCCACUCGCUUUGAUGUGGUUGUCUAUGGAGCAACUGGUUUCACUGGUACAUUUAUUGUUGAACGUAUGAUAAAAUCACAGUUUUUCGAUGAUUUAUCAAUUGCGGUUGCUGGAAGGAAUGAGAAGAAGCUCAGAGAGGUGUUGAGAAUUGUUGGAGAGAAAACUGUGACCUGAACCACGUGGAAUCAUUUGUUCAACUGCAUAGUGGACCGAUGGGGUACUCGCUUAACACUGGAACCUAUGAAACUGUACUCUUGGCAGUGAGUAAUGAAAAUGAAAAUAAAAUGAAAGAAAUUAGAAAGUCUACAAUGCCAAACGACAUUGAGAAUGGAACAGUUAUUCCACCGCGUCGAGGAGUUGUCUGGAAAAUUGAAGAAAAAGAGCUUCAAGGCUUUGCCAUCCCAUUCCCUGGUGCUGAUCUAUCAGUGAUGGUCCGGAGUCAAUAUUAUGAUGCGACUGUUCGAAAAUCUCGUCCUGUUCAUCUUUCUAGUUACUUUCAACUUGACACUCGAUUCAAGACGUAUCGCCUGAUUCUCUGGGGUGCUAUCACGCGCGCCUUUGCUCUUGCUUCAUUCACUCGCCGAAUCCUUUUGAAAUACCCGGAUCAGUGCAGUUUCCGAAUGUUCAAGAAAUCGGGUCCAAGUGCUCAACAAAUUGCUGAAGCGUCAUUCACGUAUUGGUUCUUUGGAUAUGGAUACAAGGAGACUAUUCCACUGGAUCAGCAGCACGAGAGAAAAGUCGAUAGAAAAGUGGUGGCUACUUGUAAGGGACCAGAUCUCGCAUAUAUGGCAGCUAGUGGUUGUGUUCUUUCCGCUGCACUAGCAUUGGUUAAAGAUAAGAACAACCUGCCAAAGGAAGGAGGCGUCUACACUCCAGCCGCUGCUUUUGGAGACUCCAAGAUAUACGAUUACCUGGCAACCUUUGGAAUUAAUUUUCAUUUGGAAUCUGAAUACGAUCUCUAA